GUGGAGCAUGUGGUUUAAUUCGAUGAUACGCGAGGAACCUUACCAGGGCUCGAACGUACGUUGACAGUCGCGGAAACGUGAUCUUCUUCGGACAACGUGCGAGUCUGCAUGCUGUCGUCAGCUCGUGCCGUGAGUUCGGUUUAAGUCCCAUAACGAGCGCAACCCCCAUUUCUAGUUGCCAGCGGGUAAUGCCGGGGACUCUAGAGAACUUGCCCGUGUAAACGGUGAGGAAGUUGGGGACGACGUCAAGUCAUCACGCCCUUACGUCCUGGGCUACACACGUGCUACAAUGGCGAGUACAGAGGGAAGCUACCGAGUGAUCGGACGCGGAUCCUCAAAACUCGUCUCAGUUCGGAUCGGAGUCUGCAACCCGACUUCGUGAAGCUGGAAUCGCU
rnacentral:rRNA from 1 species